rnacentral:tRNA from 1 species
GGAAGUGUGACAGAGAGGCUAAAUGUGCUCCCCUGCUAAGGGAUGCGUCCGAAAGGGCACGAGGGUUCGAAUCCCUCCGCUUCCGCCA